GAGUACUUUUUGUUUGAGUUAGUAAUUACUGAGAUUUUUCAGAAAAAGAAAACUAAACAACAUUUUAAAUGCCAUAUUAAUCCAACUCGGUAUUUCAAUCUCCCACAUAAAUAGGAAAAACUGAAUAAACUUUUAUUUUCUAGGUAGUUAUCCAUGAAGCAAAUUAACUGUUAAACUAAUUAUAAUUUAAAAACAUGGUUUCUGUUUCUACGAAAACAUUUCAAAGUAGCAAAAGGUAGCACAUUUCAGUUUAAUAAAAAAAAUAAACAAGCACACAAACAAAUCUUAGUACUGAAUAAACUUCUCAUUAAAUUUGCUAUGGAUAAAUAACCUACUUCCAAGAAACUAAAAACAUUAGGUACACCAAAAAAAUUAAAUUUUCAGCUUAAAAAUUAAAUCUCUACACCCACAAGGAAAUCUUUCUAUAACAACAAUGAAAAUCCAUGAAUAGGCAUAAAAUUCAAUUUGAUUGCCAAUUAAAAACAUCAAAUCCAAUCGGUUUUCAUUAAAAAAAUAUUUAUAUAAAACAUCUGCGCAAUAUAAUAUCUGCGUUUUUGUGGGUAAACAAAUCUUCAAAUAACAACAACAACAAAAUUGUAUAAUCCACAACACCACCCACAACAAAUCUCACUUAUAUAUCAAAAAAAGAAACGAAAGUCGUCAGUCGUAUCAAAUUGCCUUUACUUCAAUCAAAAUAAUGAUUUAAUGCGUUUGACAUAUCGAUUUUUUGUUUGAAUAAAUGAAAAUUAUUCUCUUAAGCCGCAGUCAGGAGCGAACAGAUCUAACAAAGAGCCUGUGGUGUUUGAAGUUUGUGAAUUGCAUUCACUGGUUGAAUUCACUUAAAUGAUUGCAUUCAGUUAAGUUCUGAAUGCAAUCAUUUAUCAAUGAGCUGUUUGAUUCUUUUGUUAGGUGAUUAAGUAGUGCAGUUUGGAGAAUACAAUUUGACAGCUUUAAGGCUUUAACAAAUGUGUAAAUAGAAAAUGGAAGUUUAGAGGAAACACAGAAACGAAUUAAUAUUUUCCAGAACGUUUUUUUUAAUUCUUAAAGAAAAUGCGAUCAGUUCUGUUUGUUAACUUUAUUAAACACCAUAAACUGGCAUAAUCGUAAUUUGCAGAGUUCAACUUGACAGCUUUAAGGCUUAAACCCAUGGUAAAUAUUUUUACUUAGCGAUUUAAGUAUUUUGCAUCCACAAAAGUUGAUCGAAAAUGCGCUCAGUUCUGUUUGUAAACUUUAUUAAACAACAUAAACUAGCAUAAUUUGACAGCUUUAAGGCCUAAACACAUGGCAAAUAUUUUUAGUUUAGCCAUUUUAUGGCCUCGCAUCCACUAAAUUUGAGCGGUUUGUUACCACCACAAACUGGAAUAUCUGUUAUAAAAUGUUAUAUAGUUUUGUGCGAAAAUGCAUUCAGUUCUGUUUGUAAACUUUAUUGAACAGCACAAACUGACAUAAUAAGUUAUAAAAUAUAAUUUCGUUAUGCAGAUAUGGCGCCCUCUGUAUUUCAACUACUGCCUGCGGUUAAAUCACACAUCGUAUAAAAAUAAUGCAACUCUUCUGUGGUACUUUUAAAAAUAUAACUUAUUUAUUAAGUUACACAUAGAUUUUUGUUGAUAUUUUUACUCUCUAUUCACAAAUAUGACCUCUACAGACUUUUGGAUAUAGUUUGCAGAUACUUUAGGGAAAAAAAAUGUUUACAAACUUUCUAUAAACUUAUCUAAAUGCAAUGUUGAAAGUAACAAGAAGACAACAAAUAUUUGUAGUCUCAUCGGCAUAGUCGUUGUCGUCGUCAUAUCGUCAUCAUCAUCAUCAACGUUGUCGUUGUGUGGUGUUCUUCUUCUGACAGGAGCAGAAAAUGAAAUCAAAAGUUUUUCUGACAGGAAAUCAUUAAUACCUGCUUGCCGAACGGCCGUCGGCGUCGGAGUCGACUGGAAGGGGGGGGGACGAACAGACGAGGCGUGGGGAUUAAGCGGGAAGAAGAUUGAAAAUACACUUCCGUCCUAUGGGGAUAUGAUGAUAUUAUGAACAACCACAACUUAAUAUUAACAUGCAGACACAAGUUGUGUAUAAAGUAAAAUAAAGUUUUCUUCAUUUUUUUAUUUUUAUUUUUUUAUGCUGAACUGUUGUUGUUUUCAAGUUUAGAAUCCCAUGAAAAUUCAUUGAAUGAAUAUGAACAUCCGCGAACAUUUUGCCGGAAAUAUAAGAAUGUACGAGAGUAUAUAUAAGUUACUAUGUGUGAAACAUUAUAACAUGGGAGUAAAGUUUUGAAAUUAUAAACUUUUUAGAAAGAUAUAUACAUUGCAUGGAUUUGAUUAUGAUGAUGUUUUGAGAAAAUACAUAUUUAGAGCCAAAAUUGAAGCGGAUAAAAAGUGAACAAUUACUUUCUUGAAGAAGAGAGAAAAGCAAGGUUUCGUAAAAAAAAGUUUUUCCUUUAAGAAAAAUGGAAGCUGUUUUAACUGGGAUUAAAUGACUAUAAGUUUUAUUUUUUUUUUAAGAAUUAAACUUCAAAAACAUUUAAUCUUUCAAAAAUUAAAGGCUCACAAAAUGUGGCCAUAACUUUCAUUUGCAGGCAACUUUUUGUGAUAGAGUUUUACUUCAAAUUGUUUUCAACUUUAUAGACAACUUUUUGCUCCUAAACUACUUAUCGGAAUUUGACAAUUAGGGUAUCGUUGGAAACGUUUAUCUCGUCCGCUGGUUAAUGGCUAUGUGAUUUGGUAUAAAAUCAAAUUUGGCGUACUCUAGAGGCAAAUAUCAUAAACAAUUGCUUUUAUUUAUUAUUAUUUAAAGUGCCUCUGUAAAUACUU